rnacentral:rRNA from 1 species
GCUUGUCUCAAAGAUUAAGCCAUGCAUGUCUAAGUAUAAGCAAUUAUACAGCGAAACUGCGAAUGGCUCAUUAUAUAAGUUAUCGUUUAUUUGAUAGUACCUUACUACUUGGAUAACCGUGGUAAUUCUAGAGCUAAUACAUGCUAAAAAUCCCGACUUCGGAAGGGAUGUAUUUAUUAGAUUAAAAACCAAUGCCCUUCGGGGCUCCUUGGUGAUUCAUGAUAACUCCUCGAAUCGCAUGGCCUUGUGCCGGCGAUGGUUCAUUCAAAUUUCUUCCCUAUCAACUUUCGAUGUUUGGGUAUUGGCCAAACAUGGUUGCAACGGGUAACGGAGGGUUAGGGCUCGACCCCGGAGAAGGAGCCUGAGAAACGGCUACUACAUCCAAGGAAGGCAGCAGGCGCGCAAAUUACCCAAUCCCGACACGGGGAGGUAGUGACAAUAAAUACUGAUACAGGGCUCUUUUGGGUCUUGUAAUUGGAAUGAGUACAAUUUAAAUCCCUUAACGAGGAACAAUUGGAGGGCAAGUCUGGUGCCAGCAGCCGCGGUAAUUCCAGCUCCAAUAGCGUAUAUUAAAGUUGUUGUGGUUAAAAAGCUCGUAGUUGAACCUUGGGCCUGGCUGGCCGGUCCGCCUCACCGCGUGUACUGGUCCGGCCGGGCCUUUCCCUCUGUGGAACCCCAUGCCCUUCACUGGGUGUGGCGGGGAAACAGGACUUUUACUUUGAAAAAAUUAGAGUGCUCCAGGCAGGCCUAUGCUCGAAUACAUUAGCAUGGAAUAAUAGAAUAGGACGUGUGGUUCUAUUUUGUUGGUUUCUAGGACCGCCGUAAUGAUUAAUAGGGACAGUCGGGGGCAUCAGUAUUCAAUUGUCAGAGGUGAAAUUCUUGGAUUUAUUGAAGACUAACUACUGCGAAAGCAUUUGCCAAGGAUGUUUUCAUUAAUCAGGAACGAAAGUUAGGGGAUCGAAGACGAUCAGAUACCGUCGUAGUCUUAACCAUAAACUAUGCCGACUAGGGAUCGGACGGUGUUAUUUUUUGACCCGUUCGGCACCUUACGAGAAAUCA